rnacentral:tRNA from 1 species
GCCUAAUAGUUAAAUAUAUAACAGUGGAUUGCAAAUCUAAAGUUGCUUUGUAGCUUGGGCUU